UGCUGUGUAUGAUGAGAAAUAUUUAAAAUCAGUUAUCCCUGGCUGAUUUCGUUAUGAUGACAUCUUGUUAUCUGACACAGAC
rnacentral:snoRNA from 1 species